UACGGAGGAUGCAAGCGUUAUCCAGAUUUAUUGGGUUUAAAGGGUGCGCAGGUUGUUUGAUAAGUCAGUGGUGAAAGUCUGUCGCUUAACGGUAGGAUUGCCAUUGAUACUGUUAGACUUGAAUAUGGAUGAGGUAGGCGGAAUGUGUAGUGUAGCAGUGAAAUGCAUAGAUAUUACACAGAACACCGAUUGCGAAGGCAGCUUACUAAUCCAUCAUUGACGCUGAGGCACGAAAGCGUGGGGAU
rnacentral:rRNA from 1 species